rnacentral:rRNA from 1 species
GGGUUGUGAGGUUAAGCGACUAAGCGUACACGGUGGAUGCCCUGGCAGUCAGAGGCGAUGAAGGACGUGCUAAUCUGCGAAAAGCGUCGGUAAGGUGAUAUGAACCGUUACAGCCGGCGAUGUCCGAAUGGGGAAACCCAGUGCAAUUCGUUGCACUAUCGUUAACUGAAUACAUAGGUUAACGAGGCGAACCGGGGGAACUGAAACAUCUAAGUACCCCGAGGAAAAGAAAUCAACCGAGAUUCCCCCAGUAGCGGCGAGCGAACGGGGAGCAGCCCGGAGUCUGAAUCAGCUUGUGUGUUAGUGGAAGCGUCUGGAAAGUCGCAGGGUACAGGGUGAUACUCCCGUACACUAAAACACACAGGUUGUGAACUCGAAGAGUAGGGCGGGACACGUGGUAUCCUGUCUGAAUAUGGGGGGACCAUCCUCCAAGGCUAAAUACUCCUGACUGACCGAUAGUGAACCAGUACCGUGAGGGAAAGGCGAAAAGAACCCCGGCGAGGGGAGUGAAAAAGAACCUGAAACCGUGUACGUACAAGCAGUAGGAGCCCACUUGUUGGGUGACUGCGUACCUUUUGUAUAAUGGGUCAGCGACUUAUAUUCUGUAGCAAGGUUAACCGUAUAGGGGAGCCGCAGGGAAACCGAGUCUUAACUGGGCGUUAAGUUGCAGGGUAUAGACCCGAAACCCGGUGAUCUAGCCAUGGGCAGGUUGAAGGUUGGGUAACACUAACUGGAGGACCGAACCGACUAAUGUUGAAAAAUUAGCGGAUGACUUGUGGCUGGGGGUGAAAGGCCAAUCAAACCGGGAGAUAGCUGGUUCUCCCCGAAAGCUAUUUAGGUAGCGCCUCGUGAACUCAUCUUCGGGGGUAGAGCACUGUUUCGGCUAGGGGGUCAUCCCGACUUACCAACCCGAUGCAAACUACGAAUACCGAAGAAUGUUAUCACGGGAGACACACGGCGGGUGCUAACGUCCGUCGUGAAGAGGGAAACAACCCAGACCGCCAGCUAAGGUCCCAAAGUCAUGGUUAAGUGGGAAACGAUGUGGGAAGGCCCAGACAGCCAGGAUGUUGGCUUAGAAGCAGCCAUCAUUUAAAGAAAGCGUAAUAGCUCACUGGUCGAGUCGGCCUGCGCGGAAGAUGUAACGGGGCUAAACCAUGCACCGAAGCUGCGGCAGCGACACUAUGUGUUGUUGGGUAGGGGAGCGUUCUGUAAGCCGUUGAAGGUGGCCUGUGAGGGUUGCUGGAGGUAUCAGAAGUGCGAAUGCUGACAUAAGUAACGAUAAUGCGGGUGAAAAACCCGCACGCCGGAAGACCAAGGGUUCCUGUCCAACGUUAAUCGGGGCAGGGUGAGUCGACCCCUAAGGCGAGGCCGAAAGGCGUAGUCGAUGGGAAACAGGUUAAUAUUCCUGUACUCGGUGUUACUGCGAAGGGGGGACGGAGAAGGCUAUGUUGGCCGGGCGACGGUUGUCCCGGUUUAAGCAUGUAGGCGGAUGUUCCAGGUAAAUCCGGAACGUUACUAACGCUGAGGUGUGAUGACGAGGCACUACGGUGCUGAAGUGACAAAUGCCCUGCUUCCAGGAAAAGCCUCUAAGCAUCAGGUAACAUCAAAUCGUACCCCAAACCGACACAGGUGGUCAGGUAGAGAAUACCAAGGCGCUUGAGAGAACUCGGGUGAAGGAACUAGGCAAAAUGGUGCCGUAACUUCGGGAGAAGGCACGCUGAUGGUAAGUGAAGCGACUUGCUCGUGGAGCUGAAAUCAGUCGAAGAUACCAGCUGGCUGCAACUGUUUAUUAAAAACACAGCACUGUGCAAACACGAAAGUGGACGUAUACGGUGUGACGCCUGCCCGGUGCCGGAAGGUUAAUUGAUGGGGUUAUCCUCGCGGAGAAGCUCUUGAUCGAAGCCCCGGUAAACGGCGGCCGUAACUAUAACGGUCCUAAGGUAGCGAAAUUCCUUGUCGGGUAAGUUCCGACCUGCACGAAUGGCGUAAUGAUGGCCAGGCUGUCUCCACCCGAGACUCAGUGAAAUUGAACUCGCUGUGAAGAUGCAGUGUACCCGCGGCAAGACGGAAAGACCCCGUGAACCUUUACUAUAGCUUGACACUGAACACUGGUCCUUGAUGUGUAGGAUAGGUGGGAGGCUUUGAAGUGUGGACGCCAGUCUGCAUGGAGCCAUCCUUGAAAUACCACCCUUUAAUGGCUGGUGUUCUAACGUGGGCCCGUAAUCCGGGUUGCGGACAGUGUCUGGUGGGUAGUUUGACUGGGGCGGUCUCCUCCUAAAGAGUAACGGAGGAGCACGAAGGUCAGCUAAUCCUGGUCGGACAUCAGGAGGUUAGUGCAAUGGCAUAAGCUGGCUUGACUGCGAGCGUGACGGCGCGAGCAGGUGCGAAAGCAGGUCAUAGUGAUCCGGUGGUUCUGAAUGGAAGGGCCAUCGCUCAACGGAUAAAAGGUACUCCGGGGAUAACAGGCUGAUACCGCCCAAGAGUUCAUAUCGACGGCGGUGUUUGGCACCUCGAUGUCGGCUCAUCACAUCCUGGGGCUGAAGUAGGUCCCAAGGGUAUGGCUGUUCGCCAUUUAAAGUGGUACGCGAGCUGGGUUUAGAACGUCGUGAGACAGUUCGGUCCCUAUCUGCCGUGGGCGCUGGAGAAUUGAGGGGGGCUGCUCCUAGUACGAGAGGACCGGAGUGGACGCAUCACUGGUGUUCGGGUUGUCAUGCCAAUGGCAUUGCCCGGUAGCUAAAUGCGGAAGAGAUAAGUGCUGAAAGCAUCUAAGCACGAAACUUGCCCCGAGAUGAGUUCUCCCUGACCCUUUAAGGGUCCUGAAGGAACGUUGAAGACGACGACGUUGAUAGGCCGGGUGUGUAAGCGCAGCGAUGCGUUGAGCUAACCGGUACUAAUGAACCGUGAGGCUUAACCUUACAACGCCGAAG